GUGCGGCAUCUUUCUGAACUCUCCCAACCGUCCGAGCUUCCACAGUACCAUCCGAACUCCUCCAACAGUCGACCUUCCACAGUGUCCCCCAGAUUCCUCCAAUGGACGAACUCCUAUCAUACCCUCCAGACUUCUCCAAUAAUGAGCACCUUCAGUUGUCUAUCAGACUGCUCCAAAUGCUCUUUGGGCUUUACUAUCAGCCAAUUUUCUACAGUGAUUGACUACUCUCCGAAUCUCUUCCAGACUUCCUCCCGUCACAAUCGACUUUACUCCGAGCUUCUUCCGGACUUCGUCAAUGUCUGGGCUUCUCUAGCAACAGG
rnacentral:lncRNA from 1 species